CUUUUUUUUUUGUUGCCCCUCCCCCCGCCCUUUUUGUUGGUCUUGCUGCCGUUGCCAACACCCGAUCCCUCACCGGCUUCCCACUCGCUGUUCAUUAUGUUUCAUGUGAUGCAGAUCAACAGAAAACAUUCCUGCUGCAUGACGAGUUUGAGAACGGCACCAUCUUUUAUCAUCAUUACGUAAAGAUAGCUUUAAUGAACACAUGUAGUGCAGCUCUGUCUUAUUUUCCUAUCAUAAAUAUUCACACCCGCGGACCAUAAUGCUUUGCAGCUGCCUCUUAGCUGCACAUGCCACACAUCUGCUUCCUGUUUACCGGCUCUCUGCACCGACCUCUCCACCUGCCGCCAUUAGAAUCAAACUGCUGUGAACGUGUCGGCCUGUCCUCCUCGCCGACCUGACGAAGCCGCGACUCGCCUCACACUUCGUCUCGACCGUGAGAAGGUCCCGAAAUGAAAACUGAAAGAAGCAUGUUUGGAUUCGGAGCGAGCCAGUACAGUGGUUCUGGGUGACUUUGUUUAACCUGCUGGCAUCGGCGAGCAUCACUGCGGCCAGCUCAGGCCUCUCUGCACCAGGGGGACACUCCUGCUUUGCUCUGCCUGUUCGCCCAGCCUACCAUGAACAUCAACAUCAGCAGCAGGAGGGCCAAGUGCUGCACAGCACCCGGCUAACCAGAUACAGGACAGAAGAGGGAGGGUGGCGCUUGUUUUUGUUUUUGUCGGAGCAGGCGGUGGAGGUACAUGAGGUGAGGACGGUCUGGAUGAUGAGCGCUGCUGCAGUUUUCUCAAGUCUGUCGACAACCAACUAUGAAAGACAUUAGUCCAGACAGACUGUGAGUAGUUUAUCCUACACUCUGUUAGAUAACAGAAUUUAUCACCUGUAUUUUUUUAAGAUAGCACUUCUGUAGUAACAUGAGCAGCCUGUUGAUUAACAGCAUUGUAACACUUUGCUAACGAUAAACUUCCUAAACUAUAAAAGUAAAUUAAUGGGGUAAAUAAUGUUUGUCAUAAUUUGAAGAUCAAAUAAACAAAACUUGGAAG